rnacentral:rRNA from 1 species
UACGUAGGGUGCAAGCGUUGUCCGGAAUUAUUGGGCGUAAAGAGCUCGUAGGCGGCUUGUCACGUCUGCUGUGAAAACUCGGGGCUCAACCCCGAGCCUGCAGUGGAUACGGGCUAGCUAGAGUGCGGUAGGGGAGACUGGAAUUCCUGGUGUAGCGGUGAAAUGCGCAGAUAUCAAGCGGAACACCGGUGGCGAAGGCGGCCUUCUGGACAGUGACUGACGCUGAGAUGCGAAAGCGUGGGGAGCAAACAGG